GAAAUACUACUACUUCUAUAGUUGCCCUGACGGGUAGACUGGCUGUUGCAUUGACGGCAUCCUCUUGCGAUACAAAGUGGUGUUACAAUGCCUUACAGACAGGCGUUAGCUGGGGGGCCAGCUCUACACUACAAGAGACGAGAGCUGAACGUAAACUACAACCUCGUUCCUCCGAACCCGUUUCCCAAAAUCAACGGUCAUCUGAACAAGCUGCACCUGCACCAUAUAUUUUUCAUUCUUCAUCCAAUCAUUUGAUGUAAAUAACAAAAUUGUACUCAUUUCUUUUUUUCUAUAUAUAAAAUUAAAUGCAUUGUACGGUGUGUAAAAAAAAA
ensembl:lncRNA